rnacentral:rRNA from 1 species
GGACGCAAGUCUGAACCAGCCAUGCCGCGUGAAGGAUUAAGGUCCUCUGGAUUGUAAACUUCUUUUAUAUGGGACGAAAAAAGGUCUUUCUAGACCCCUUGACGGUACCAUAUGAAUAAGCACCGGCUAACUCCGUGCCAGCAGCCGCGGUAAUACGGAGGGUGCAAGCGUUAUCCGGAUUCACUGGGUUUAAAGGGUGCGUAGGCGGGUAGGUAAGUCAGUGGUGAAAUCCUGGAGCUCAACUCCAGAACUGCCAUUGAUACUAUCUAUCUUGAAUAUUGUGGAGGUAAGCGGAAUAUGUCAUGUAGCGGUGAAAUGCUUAGAUAUGACAUAGAACACCCAUUGCGAAGGCAGCUUACUACGCAUAUAUUGACGCUGAGGCACGAAAGCGUGGGGAUCAAACAGGAUUAGAUACCCUGGUAGUCCACGCCCUAAACGAUGGAUACUCGACAUACGCGAUACACUGUGUGNGNUU